AUUCAAUGAUUCGGAACACUGCUCAUGUAAUCGGUGAAUCUUUCUCAUGCAUCACUAAUUAAUUCUCUAGGUGUAUCCAUAAAAUUAUGAAUUUUAUCUUUCAGCUU